GCCCAUUCACAGAAAGCCUUCUGCUUUUCCAUGUUAUCUGAUCUUGGGAAUUUCCUCACUAGUUUAAGAUCUUCGAAGAUACACAUGUGAUGCCUUUACUCACCUCCUGCAUCACCAGCACGUUUAUCUUGAAGAGGAAAGGUGGUUUAAACGAACCAGAUCACCGCACAUGUGGGCGAGAAGGUUCACUGUCCUCACUGGAAUCAGGCAGAUGCCAUCGCUCCGAGCCAUUCCGAGAUGGUAUGUGGGACAAAUGAGCAUCAGAUAUGACCUUCCACACAAGCAGCUGUUGUAGGUUCUUUGGAACUACAUCAUUGACCUUGGAGAAGAUGGUAUUACGCUAACCAGGGGGCUGAAACCGCAAUCCUCUCACUCUACAAACCUGUCUGGGCCUUCUGCGAAUCCCACGACAUCUCUGAUUCCAUGGCUGUGCAGUGACCCGUGUCUUCUGUCACUCUAUAUUUGGAUUAGUGCAUGGAUCCUCUGGCACACGUCCAGGUAUACAGUGGGAAAGGGUCUUGUUUUGGGGCAAAGCUUUGAGGAAAGAGAUACAGGCUCUGUUCUUGUGUUAUCUAACAGGCACAUGUUCCUGGCCUGUAACUUUACCCCCAGACACCUCUUGCUUUACAUCCCACUGUUCCACUCGGCAAGGUGGGGUUACCGAUAACUCUUUCUCCCACUCACUUACUCUCUUACCCAUGCACACAAUCUCUGUUUUUCCAUCUCUUGGGAUUGUGUGGGGAAAGAAUGGCCCUUAUACAGUCUCACCCUGUUUGUCUCUUCUUUCUGCCUUUGCUUCUCAAUUCUUGGUCUUAUCUGACACUUAAAGCGAUGGUUCACCCAGAAAUUAAAACAUUGUCAUC